GCUGGGCGUGGUGGCUCAUGCCUGUAAUCCCAGCUACUCGGGAGGCUGAGGCAGGAGAAUCGCUUGAACCCAGGAGGCAGAGGCUGCAGUGAGCUGAGAUCGCGCCACUGCGCUCCAGCCUGGGCGACAGAGCGAGACUCUGUCUCAA
rnacentral:SRP_RNA from 1 species